rnacentral:pre_miRNA from 1 species
GGCAAAAAAUUGGAGUGGAUUAGAUUAUUAUGGUCAGCUGAUCCUACUAAUCUAUUCUACUUCAAAUUCGGGCCC